rnacentral:snRNA from 1 species
GCUCACUUCGGCAGUGCGUCUCCUAAAACUGGAAUUGUAGCAGAGAUUAGCAUGGCCCCCGUAUGAAGAUGGCACACACAUCUGUGAAGUGUACUGUAUUUUU